AGAGUUUGAUCAUGGCUCAGGAUGAACGCUAGCUACAGGCUUAACACAUGCAAGUCGAGGGGAAACGACAUCGAAAGCUUGCUUUUGAUGGGCGUCGACCGGCGCACGGGUGAGUAACGCGUAUCCAACCUGCCCAUCACUUGGGGAUAACCUUGCGAAAGUAAGACUAAUACCCAAUGACGUCUCUAGAAGACAUCUGAAAGAGAUUAAAGAUUUAUCGGUGAUGGAUGGGGAUGCGUCUGAUUAGCUUGUUGGCGGGGUAACGGCCACAAGGCGACGAUCAGUAGGGGUUCUGAGAGGAAGGUCCCCCCANAUUGGAACUGAGACACGGUCCGAACUCCUACGGGAAGCA
rnacentral:rRNA from 1 species